GUUUCAGCAGCCGCGGUAAUACGUAGGGUGCGAGCGUUAAUCGGAAUUACUGGGCGUAAAGCGUGCGCAGGCGGUUGUGUAAGACAGAUGUGAAAUCCCCGGGCUCAACCUGGGAAUGGCAUUUGUGACUGCACAGCUAGAGUACGGUAGAGGGGGAUGGAAUUCCGCGUGUAGCAGUGAAAUGCGUAGAUAUGCGGAGGAACACCGAUGGCGAAGGCAGUCCCCUGGACCUGUACUGACGCUCAUGCACGAAAGCGUGGGGAGCAAACAGGAUUAGAAACCCGCGUAGUCC
rnacentral:rRNA from 1 species